AAGCAAAGCAGAGCAACUCAAGGGAAGAAGCUAGCACCGACUCUUUAGGACGGAAUGGAAUGCUUUCGGGGCUGCUUAACGAAUCCUUACCACAACCGGAAAACGAGUUACUCGCUCAGGAAAAUCAGCACUUGAGGCUAUCGGUCCACGAAUCAUAUGGAAUUUCAUCCCAAGCCAGCAACUGAGAAAACGGCGGAUC
rnacentral:lncRNA from 1 species